GAGCUAAGAUGAUCUACAAGAAACAGUGGCAGAAUGGAGAAUGAUGUCCAAAUAUUUUAGCGUUGAAGUACACGUAUUGUUGGAUAAUGAGCAUUUGAGAGGGCAUCUUCCCAACCCAGAGGUCAACCUGCAUCUCUUGCAUCUCCUGUAUCAGCAUUGGCAAACAGGUUCCUUACCACUAUCACCACCUGGGAAGCCCAGGAAAGCCAGGGAGAGAUCUACAUUGGUGCAGCCAGGAGCUAAUUCUAAGGUGCCAGUGGCAUUUGGAGAUGCAGAGUUUUCAACCUUCAAAGCUACUGAGGUUCUUGAGUAUCUGACUGAACUGUCGGAUACCACAGAGAGACUGCAAGACUGAAAAGUAGCAAUGGCUUUGAUCAUUUGCUGAGAAUUUUAAAUGAACUUGUUAUCAUGCUCAUUUAGACGCUUUGGAAAAUGUAUUAUCGUUUAACCAGUUGAUUUAGGUAAGCUUACUGAAGAGUGCUUCACUUUGCACUUGUUGAACUUAAGGAUUGUUUAUACUUGCUUCCUUGGAACAAACACGUUCAUAGUCCAAAUUAUAAUGUGAUCUUUACUCUUCCUCCCCCUCCCGCCCCACUCUGGUGGUUUCCUACAGUUCAAAUAUGAAGACUUUCUCAUACUUUAGAUUACAAAAUUAUUGUUUACUGGUAAAAAAUGCCAAGGACCAUCCAUUGAUGGCAUCCCAUUGAUAUUCAACCAAAUGAACUCUGGGAGUAGUCUAGCGGAAUCCCAGUAAGUGAGAAAACAAACAUGACUUAUUCAGGAAAACAACAGUCAUUAACAGUGGAACCGAUGAUUACAGGGUGGUAAAACUGCUUUUUUUUUUUUCAGAACAGAUAGGUUAGUUAGAACAAAGUUAGUUAAAGGCUGACAGGCUGAAUUUUCUUGUGGUAAAUGCAGAAAUGGUUGGACAGCAUCACUGAUUCAGUGGACAUGAGUUUGAACAAACUCCAGAAGGUAUUAAAGGACAGGGAAGCCUGGCAUGUUGUAGUCCAUGGGGUCGCGGAGUCAGGCACAACUGAGCGACUGAACAAUAGCUGAGCAAAUGCUGAAACAAUCAGAAGAGCAGCUCUCACCCUUCAAUCCAGAAUAGAAGAGAGGAAGGAAGAUACGGAUGGUUUUCAGUUUUGGCAAAUAAAAUAGAAUAAAAUAUAAUGG
ensembl:lncRNA